AGCAAUUAUAAAGGACUGUAAAAGGAGAUAGACAAACCUGAACAUGACUUGGAUAGAUUACUAGAAAGCAUUCGACAGUAUUCCAAACUCAUGGAUAAUGGAAUCUCUUCACACAAAUAAGAUAUAUUAAAUAUGC